ensembl:lncRNA
CGGGUACCAGGGCUGGCGCUGUGAGGAGCUGUGCGAGGCAGGGCUCUAUGGGAAGGGAUGCCAGCUAGAGUGCCAGUGUCUCAACGGUGCCACCUGCCAUCACGAGACCGGAGAGUGCCUCUGUGCACCGGGAUACACCGGGGCUAUCUGUGGUGAGCGGUGUCCCUCUGGUAGUCAUGGCGCCCAGUGUGAGCUGCGUUGCCCGUGUCAGAACGGUGGAACGUGCCAUCACGUCACGGGGGAGUGCUCCUGCCCCGCUGGAUGGAUGGGCUCGGUGUGUGCCCAGCCGUGCCAGUUUGGCACCUACGGCAUCAACUGUAGCCAGGAGUGCCCCUGCCGGAACAGAGGUCUGUGUGACCACAUCAGCGGGCAGUGCCAAUGUACCGCCG